rnacentral:rRNA from 1 species
GAUCAUGGCUCAGAUUGAACGCUGGCGGCAGGCUUAACACAUGCAAGUCGAACGGUAACAUAAAGAAGCUUGCUUCUUUGAUGACGAGUGGCGGACGGGUGAGUAAUGCUUGGGAAUCUAGCUUAUGGAGGGGGGAUAACUACGGGAAACUGUAGCUAAUACCGCGUAGUAUCGGAAGAUGAAAGUGUGGGACCUUCGGGCCACAUGCCAUAGGAUGAGCCCAAGUGGGAUUAGGUAGUUGG